UACAGAGGUCCCGAGCGUUGUCCGGAAUUAUUGGGCGUAAAGAGCUCGUAGGCGGCCUGUCGCGUCGGUUGUGAAAGCCCGGGGCUUAACCCCGGGUCUGCAGUCGAUACGGGCAGGCUAGAGUUCGGUAGGGGAGAUCGGAAUUCCUGGUGUAGCGGUGAAAUGCGCAGAUAUCAGGAGGAACACCGGUGGCGAAGGCGGAUCUCUGGGCCGAUACUGACGCUGAGGAGCGAAAGCGUGGGGAGCGAACAGG
rnacentral:rRNA from 1 species